UACGUAGGGGGCAAGCGUUGUCCGGAAUUAUUGGGCGUAAAGCGCGCGCAGGCGGUCAAUUAAGUUGGGUGUUUAAGCCCGGGGCUCAACCCCGGUUCGCAUCCAAAACUGGUUGACUUGAGUGUAGGAGAGGAAAGUGGAAUUCCACGUGUAGCGGUGAAAUGCGUAGAGAUGUGGAGGAACACCAGUGGCGAAGGCGACUUUCUGGCCUAUAACUGACGCUGAGGCGCGAAAGCGUGGGGAGCAAACAGGAUUAGAAACCCCCGUAGUCC
rnacentral:rRNA from 1 species